rnacentral:lncRNA from 1 species
GAGAGAGGGAAGGACAGAUCCACUCUUGGGAGGUCGUGGACUGAAAGAUGUGAGGGUCCUUGACUUGGAUUUAUUGCCCUGGGGUUCUGCAUUCCGUGAUGAAAUUAGAAAUUGUUCUCCCAAAGAAGAGCAUGCCAUGAGGUGUGUGAGGAAGCUGUGGCAGCUGCAAAGAACACAAGAUGCCUAAAGUUGGGUCAAGAGAAGUAAUGCUGUAGUCACUCCUUGUGACUUCAGGGGAGCAGUCAAAUCCAGCAGGCAUCUGGGACCUCAUUCUGUCUCUCCACUGAGUCUGUCUCACUUCCUGGAAAAGCAAAUCAUCAGGAACCACUUCCUCCCUGGACCAAACAUCAAGAGCAUCCUUGACAACACGCACCGGUUCUGGCUGCCGACAGACCUUUUCAGAUGGGACGAACUUCCAAUCAAUUCUCAUUUCUUCCAGGUGAGAGAGAGAAGCAGUUGGGUGACCCAGGGGGCCCUGUGAACCUCCCACCAGAAAUUACUUCGG